AUUGAACGCUGGCGGCAUGCCUUACACAUGCAAGUCGAACGGCAGCACGGGGGCAACCCUGGUGGCGAGUGGCGAACGGGUGAGUAAUACAUCGGAAUGUACCCAGUAGUGGGGGAUAACUAGUCGAAAGAUUAGCUAAUACCGCAUACGCACUAUGGUGGAAAGCGGGGGAUCGCAAGACCUCGCGCUAUUGGAGCAGCCGAUGUCCGAUUAGGUAGUUGGUGGGGUAAAAGCCUACCAAGCCUGCGAUCGGUAACUGGUCUGAGAGGACGACCAGUCACACUGGGACUGAGACACGGCCCAGACUCCUACGGGAGGCAGCAGUGGGGAAUUUUGGACAAUGGGGAAAACCCUGAUCCAGCAAUGCCGCGUGUGUGACGAAGGCC
rnacentral:rRNA from 1 species